rnacentral:rRNA from 1 species
CCCACCAAAUUUCCCCUGUAUAAUGUUCUAGCAUCUCCUUCCAUUGUUCCUAAUCUCAUAUUCGUUCGACAAUUCACUAUUGAUAACAAUGUUUCUGUAACCUUUACUCCCUAUGGCUUUUCUGUGAAGGAUCUUCGCACUCAGACGGUACUCAUGACGUCCAGUAGCUCCGGCGACCUUUACCCUAUUUUCAGCAAUAACUCCACCGGCAGUCGCGCUUUCUCCAUCACCACAAGCGAUCUGUGGCACCGGUGGCUCGGGCAUCCAGGCAAAUCUUCAUUAGCCAGCACUAUUAGCAUUUUUCUUUCAGAUUGUAAUAAACUCUGCUCCCUCCUUUUGUGA